rnacentral:misc_RNA from 1 species
AUGAAAUCUAUGGUCUGGUUUAAAGGUUGUUGCUGGCCCUUCUCUCGGGGCAUGUGCACGUCUUGACCGGAUUAUGUCCCCUCUUCACACCUGUGCACCAACUGUAGCUGGGGAUGAUCACGGAGCCGUCGGUUCUGAAUGCCCUCGCUAUGAACGUUUAUACACUCCGUAAAGUCUUUUAGAAUGUUUUUGCCAGCGUGUAACAGCGCGAAUGAAAUA